CUUUGAUCCUUCUUCAAGGCCUGGGAAUAACCUCAGGCAGCCAGGACCUGCUCUGCCUGUGGGGCUCACAGAUUGCAUGAAGUGCAAGGAUGAGCUGAAAGUGUGGCUCUGAAGCAGCAACUGAUGGGACAACUCUGAGGUCAUCUACUUACCCUCGAGGGACUGAGGCAGCUCUCUCUGUGAGAUUGCUGAUAUGCAACUGGGCUUGGCCUCUUUAUUCUUCUUGGACCGACUUGACUUCUCACUUUCCUGUUUCUCCUGGGAACACUCGUAAGGAAUGGCUCAGUGAAUUUCCUUCUCAAGGUCGGCUUUGGGGAUCAUAUGGUGUGCUGGUCCUGGACCUGUUUGCACUCAGAUCCAUCCUUCUGCUCUGCCUUGUUCUGGGGUGAAGAAGUUGAUCCUCGGCAGGGUGACUUUUUCAGGCUCUAGAGAAUUUCUGAAAGGACUGAGUCAACGGGCAGCAGGAAUAUAUCAACCAUGGAAAAUUAGAGAGCAGGGUGAGGAGCGGUUUUUGGGGGAGGGAGCUAUCAAGACACUCCCUCCUGUUUUCAGCCUAAGGUGGCCUCUCCAGUGGCUUUAUCUUCUCUGUGACUCCAGCCCCCAUUGUAUCGAGGCCACCAGAGAUCCAGUCUCCCAGAGUGGUCCUCUUGGUGCCAGUAAUUCCAUGUUUUCCUUUUGUCUCUCCAGCCCAAGAAUGAUAAAGACUUCCUGCUAUCGUCAAUCUCCCAGGAUUAUUUUAGAGCCCUCUGUUUAAUUCUCAGCCUCUCCACUCUUCAUGGACCCACCACUGCUUUCCAUUCCUUCUGCUGUGAACAUUUGAGAUGAUUUCUGCUUUCUUGGUUAAUCUAUGGCUAACCACAGUGUUCACCUCUACUUUAUUUUAUAAUUGAGGAAGGAAAAUAUGAGCAUAGAUACAUUAAAGGAGCAGACCCAAACUAGCUCCUUGUAUCCAAACAAAAUGAAAGAAGGUUGUAUCCAAACCUUCUUUUGAUGCUGGUAUCUAUUUUUUGGUGCUUAGAUACCAGCAUCAAAGGAAGGUUUGUUUUAUGCUUAUUCUCAUGGCCCAAUAAUGAGAUGCAGAUGAACUGGAUAGAAGGGAGUUUAUUUAUAUAACUAGGUACAGAGAGAAGGCUGGGAAAUAUUGCCAGACCAACUCAAAAUUAUAAAGUUUUCCAGAGCUUAUACACCUUCUAAGCUAUAUGUCUAUGUGUAAGUAUGUAAGUGUGCAUUCAUCUAAAGACAUAAGUAAUAAACUUUUUUUUUUUUUUUCUUG
rnacentral:lncRNA from 1 species